rnacentral:rRNA from 1 species
UACGGAGGGUGCAAGCGUUAAUCGGAAUUACUGGGCGUAAAGCGCGCGCAGGCGGUUAAUUCAGCCAGGUGUGAAAUCCCCGGGCUCAACCCGGGAAUUGCAUCUGAAACUGGUCAGCUAGAGUGCAGUAGAGGGGGGUAGAAUUCCAUGUGUAGCGGUGAAAUGCGUAGAGAUGUGGAGGAAUACCGGUGGCGAAGGCGGCCCCCUGGACAAAGACUGACGCUCAGGUGCGAAAGCGUGGGUAGCAAACAGG